GCGCCCUUAGCUCAGCUGGAUAGAGCAACGGCCUUCUAAGCCGUAAGUCACAGGUUCAAGUCCUGUAGGGCGCG
rnacentral:tRNA from 1 species